GACGAACGCUGGCGGCGUGCUUAACACAUGCAAGUCGAACGGAAAGGCCCUGCUUGCAGGGUGCUCGAGUGGCGAACGGGUGGGUAACACGUGGGUGAUCUGCCCCUUACUUUGGGAUAAGCCUGGGAAACUGGGUCUAAUACUGGAUAGGACCAUGCUGUAGGUGGUGUGGUGGAAAGAUUAGUUUCGGUAAGGGAUGAGCUCGCGGCCUAUCAGCUUGUUGGUGGGGUAUUGGCCGAACAAGGCGUCGACGGGUAGCCGGCCUGAGAGGGUGGACGGCCACAUUGGGACUGCGAUACGGGCCAGAAUCCUACGGGAGGCAGCAGUGGGGAAUAUUGCACAAUGGGCGCACGCCUGAUGCAGCGACGCCGCGUGGGGGAUGAAGGCCUUCGGGUUGGAAACUCCUUUCAGCCAUGACGAAGCCCUUGUGGUGACGGUAGUGGAAGAAGAAGCACCGGCUAACUACGUG
rnacentral:rRNA from 1 species